rnacentral:rRNA from 1 species
UACGAGGGGGGCGAGCGUUGUUCGGAAUUAUUGGGCGUAAAGAGCUCGUAGGCGGUCUGUCGCGUCUGCUGUGAAAACUCGGGGCUUAACCCCGGGCCUGCAGUGGGUACGGGCAGACUAGAGUGCGGUAGGGGAGACUGGAAUUCCUGGUGUAGCGGUGAAAUGCGCAGAUAUCAGGAGGAACACCGGUGGCGAAGGCGGGUCUCUGGGCCGUAACUGACGCUGAGGAGCGAAAGCGUGGGGAGCGAACAGG